AACGAACGCUGGCGGCAUGCCUAACACAUGCAAGUCGAACGGGAUCCAGGCUUCGGCCUGGUGAGAGUGGCGGACGGGUGAGUAACACGUGGGAACCUGCCUUUUGGUUCGGGAUAACCGCGGGAAACUGCGGCUAAUACCGGAUGCUCCCGAGAGGGGAAAGAUUUAUCGCCAGAAGAGGGGCCCGCGUCCGAUUAGGUAGUUGGUGAGGUAAUGGCUCACCAAGCCGACGAUCGGUAGCUGGUCUGAGAGGAUGAUCAGCCACACUGGGACUGAGAUACGGCCCAGACUCCUACGGGAGGCAGCAGUGGGGAAUAUUGGACAAUGGGGGCAACCCUGAUCCAGCAAUGCCGCGUGAGUGAUGAAGGCCUUAGGGUUGUAAAGCUCUUUUGCCAGGGAAGAUGAUGACUGUACCUGGAGAAUAAGCCCCGGCUAACUUCGUGCCAGCAGCCGCG
rnacentral:rRNA from 1 species